rnacentral:rRNA from 1 species
GACGAACGCUGGCGGCGUGCUUAACACAUGCAAGUCGAACGGAAAGGCCCUGCUUUUGUGGGGUGCUCGAGUGGCGAACGGGUGAGUAACACGUGAGUAACCUGCCCUUGACUUUGGGAUAACUUCAGGAAACUGGGGCUAAUACCGGAUAGGAGCUCCUGCUGCAUGGUGGGGGUGGGAAAGUUUCGGCGGUUGGGGAUGGACUCGCGGCUUAUCAGCUUGUUUGUGGGGUAGUGGCUUACCAAGGCUUUGACGGGUAGCCGGCCUGAGAGGGUGACCGGCCACAUUGGGACUGAGAUACGGCCCAGACUCCUACGGGAGGAAGCAGUGGGGAAUAUUGCACAAUGGGAGGAAGCCUGAUGCAGCAACGCAGCGUGCGGGAUGACGGCCUUCGUGUUGUCAACCGAUUUCGCAUGUGACGAAGCGUGAGUGACGGUAAUGGGUAAAGAAGCACCGGCUAACUACGUG